rnacentral:rRNA from 1 species
AGCGAACGCUGGCGGCAGGCUUAACACAUGCAAGUCGAGCGGGCAUCCUUGUGGUGUCAGCGGCAGACGGGUGAGUAACGCGUGGGAACGUGCCCUUCGGUUCGGAAUAACUCAGGGAAACUUGAGCUAAUACCGGAUACGUGCGAGAGCAGAAAGGUUUAUCUGCCGAAGGAUCGGCCCGCGUCUGAUUAGCUAGUUGGUGAGGUUACGGCUCACCAAGGCGACGAUCAGUAGCUGGUCCGAGAGGAUGAUCAGCCACACUGGGACUGCGACACGGCCCAGACUCCUACGGGAGGCAGCAGUGGGGAAUAUUGGACAAUGGGGGCAACCCUGAUCCAGCCAUGCCGCGUGAGUGAUGACGGCCUUAGGGUUGUAAAGCUCUUUUCUCCGGGACGAUAAUGACGGUACCGGAGGAAUAAGCCCCGGCUAACUUCGUG